UCUGCACAGAACCCCAUCAUGAACUUUGUCUUCCUUUCAGGAAAAUAACAGUGUGAGUAUAAAAGGGGGGAGCAGAGGGAGUUGUUGUUGUUCCAAAAGCUACUGCUAGACAGAGCUGAGCUGACUAAGGAGGGACAUUUUAACAGGUCUCUCUCUUCUACUCACACACACUCAGCAGAUCAAGCCUGCUGCAAGGCACCGUGAUGAAGGCGGGGCUCAGCCUGCUCCUGGCUCUCUGCCUGCUCCCUGGGGGCGGAGCAGAGAGUGAGGGGGAGGGGACCCGCUGUAAGCCACCACCUGGUUGGAGCAUUGGGGAGGUGGAGCCAAUGAAGGGGGUUAUGGGCCAGGUCACGGUGGUGGCCCUCCUCCAGGCCAGCUGAUCGUUCUGCUUGGUGCAGGCAUCCUUAUUGGAUGAGCUGCGCCUGAAGCUGGAGGGCCAGGGUCUGGACAAUGUGACCUAUAUGGUGGUGAACCACCAGGGGGAGCAGGCCCAGCACCUUCACACCUUGCUGAGCCAGAAACUGUCUGAGAACAUCAUAUUGUACAAACAGGUACCCAAACAGGAUGACGUGUGGCAGGCCCUGGCUGGAAAGAAGGAUGACGUCCUCAUCUAUGACAGGUGUGGUCGUCUGACCCACCAUAUCUUCCUCCCCUUUUCCAUCCUGGGUACUCCCUACGUAGAGAACGCCAUUAAGGAGACCUACUGCCAAAGCAUCUGUGGGGACUGCACGUAUGAGAACACAGAGAUCCCAGCAGAGUGCAACAGGAUGGUAGAGGUAAAGCCUGAGGGAGAAGAGAAGCCAGUCACUGGAGGGGAUACACCUCACGGUGGACGCGGUCAUAAUCACCAUGGCAAUGGGCACGGUCACCAUGGCAAAAGCCAUGGUCACGGUCACCAUGGCGAGAGUGACGUGGGGCGCGAACACGGUCGUGGCCAUGGGGUGGAGCAGCAGCAGCACCAAAAUGGCGCUGAGGGGCUCCACCAUGGCCAGGCCCAUGGCCAAUUGCACGUUGGUCAGGAGCAUAUGGGUCAGCAGCCCAAGGAGGCGCAGGAAGGGCAUAUUAUGCAGAAGCCCUGAGUGAAGGGGAGGGCCAGGUGAAAGGCAGAGCUCAGCUGACAUUUGAAGGAGGGGUCUGAUAUAAGUCCCUCCUCCAAGGUCAGCUGAUGCUGACACUGACGGGGGCUGUUUGGCAAUGGGGUACGCAACGAGCCAAUCGGGCUCUGACACUGUGAUGAGGCGCUGCCCGCCUCCUGACAGUGACAGGGACUGAUGGGCGACUCCAACAAUCACAUCAGGGAGACCUGACAGUGACGCUUGCCCCCCGCUGACUGACAGCAGCCUCUGCCAGUGAUGUCAGCCUGAUCCCCGGGUGUUGAAACCUGAAGCUGAGAGCAGCUGUAAGCAGGGCCAUGGCUCUGUGAAAGUUAUCUUGCUUAUAGGCCUCAUAUUAACAUCUGUGAGACCAACACCGGGGCAAAGCGCUCAUACCAUCUUACCAACUAGUAUUGCUCCGGUACUGUAAAGCCACACUUGAUAGAGAGGGAUGGAGGAAUAUACAUUGGGUCUGGUAGAAGAAUGCUAAGCCUAAACCUAUUACGAUAUGGGGAAUAGGAUGGUGUUUGAGAUGUACCCAAAGGGAUAGUAUGAUAUCAAGGAAGGUAGCCUCCACCCUCUCUCUCUCUGUCGGUGCAUUGGUGUCACCCUCCCGGGAGUGUAUGGGGUGACUAUGUUGAUGUUUCUCCCCCUCCGUUUUGCUCCCUCCAUCCAAAAUGAAGGUAGGCACAGAAACUACGCUGUAGUGGUGUCUGUCUGAUGUCCGGCUGGGGGGAGGGGAGGGUGAGGGCCAUACAAUAUGACCACCCCCUUAAUUCAAAGUUCACAAUAUUGAGAGCUUUAGAAGGAGUAUGAAGGAGUAGCGGCCAAUGUUGAAAUAAACUGAAAUCAUGGCCAGAAAUGCAAGAUUUGAACCAAAGUUAGACAUUGUUAUAUUCAGGGUUAGUUAGACAUUGUUAUAUUCAGGGUUAGUUAGACAUUGUUAUAUUCAGGGUUAGUUAGACAUUGUUAUAUUCAGGGUUAGUUAGACAUUGUUAUAUUCAGGGUUAGUUAGACAUUGUUAUAUUCAGUGUUAACAAAACAAAUUUGAAUAAAAUACAUUAUUAAUAUAGUAAGAUUUUUCUAUUAUGACCCCAUCAACCUUUUCAACUUUUUCUUCAACUAAAAAUCUAAUGUCACCCCUUUCAAGCAACAACAUUUAUUUGUACCUUUGAAUUAACGCUGUGUUUAUUAAAGCAGUAGUGUGUUUUGUAGACAAAAUUCAA